UACGUAGGGUGCAAGCGUUAAUCGGAAUUACUGGGCGUAAAGCGUGCGCAGGCGGUUUUGUAAGUUUGUCGUGAAAUCCCCGGGCUCAACCUGGGAAUGGGCGAUGAAGACUGCAAGGCUAGAAUCUGGCAGAGGGGGUAGAAUUCCGACGUGUGAGCAGUGAAAUGCGUAGAGAUGUGGAGGAACACCGAUGGCGCAAGGCAGCCCCCUGGGUCGAGAUUGACGCUCAUGCACGAAAG
rnacentral:rRNA from 1 species